UACGGAGGAGGCAAGCGUUAUCCGGAAUUGUUGGGCGUAAAGCGUCCGCAGGUGGCUAUUCACGUCUGCGGUCAAAGACUGGGGCUUAACCCUGGAAAGGCCGUGGAAACUGAAGAGCUAGAGUGCAGUAGGGGUAGAGGGAAUUCCCGGUGUAGCGGUGAAAUGCGUAGAGCUCGGGAAGAACAGCGGUGGCGAAAGCGCUCUGCUGGACUGCAACUGACACUCAGGGACGAAAGCUAGGGGAGCGAAUGGG
rnacentral:rRNA from 1 species